rnacentral:snRNA from 1 species
AGGGAGGGGUAUACCACCA